rnacentral:rRNA from 1 species
CCUACGGGGGGCAGCAGUGGGGAAUAUUGGGCAAUGGGCGCAAGCCUGACCCAGCAACGCCGCGUGAAGGAAGAAGGCUUUCGGGUUGUAAACUUCUUUUCUGAGGGACGAAGCAAGUGACGGUACCUGAUGAAUAAGCCACGGCUAACUACGUGCCAGCAGCCGCGGUAAUACGUAGGUGGCAAGCGUUAUCCGGAUUUGCUGGGUGUAAAGGGCGUGUAGGCGGGAAAGCAAGUCAGAUGUGAAAACCAUGGGCUCAACCUGUGGCCUGCAUUUGAAACUGUUUUUCUUGAGUACUGGAGAGGCAGACGGAAUUCCUAGUGUAGCGGUGAAAUGCGUAGAUAUUAGGAGGAACACCAGUGGCGAAGGCGGUCUGCUGGACAGCAACUGACGCUGAGGCGCGAAAGCGUGGGGAGCAAACAGGAUUAGAUACCCCAGUAGUC